CGCUUCUUUUGUCUUAUUUAACGUGUUUCUUUUUUUCUUCAAAACGUAUUCAUGGUGAGGUUGUCGCGGUUUGUUUGUCGCACUUUAUGGUGCGUUCACAUCACUGGAAAUUAUGUUAAAAAAACAUUUUUUCGACGUCGGAAAGUUCGCGUGAACGCCACCUCAUGACGCUGUUAUGAUUCUACUUCCGUUCGGCAACUCGGACCAAAUUAUGAUAACAGAGUUGCCCAGUUGGGGACGUAUGGUUUACUAGUGACGCGCAUGAACAUGGCGGAACAUGAACGUUUUACUCAAUAUAAAAGAAUCAACCAUCAUAUCACAUACUUUACUACUAUGGAUUGACGUUGUAACGUCUGUUGGCAUGAUUUUGCUCAGUUUUAAACGUUGUGUACUGGUGAACCAGCUCUAGAUAAGGGCAAGUGUUGCCUUCCAUAUAGUGGCUAUGCUGUAUGUGUUUCUCAUAAAUAAAAGCAAAAGGAUAGGUGGUGAUGGGCAUCAAGGAAAUAAAGGCAUGCAAACCUGAAACUGAUCCUACUAAGUUCUGUUAAAGGCACCCAUUUUUUUUAUCUUAUAAAAAAAACAUGCUGUGAAAACUUUAAGAUUCCCAACCGGCUGUUUCCCCAGUGCACAUGAACGAUCGCUGUCGGGAACACGCGUAAAGGCCUGAU